rnacentral:pre_miRNA from 1 species
AAUAAGUGUAGUUUUACACUAUUCACGUUCAACAUUUGACCGUUCGUCUUAUUUGAAAUUUUUUUAUGAUUAGUAUUUUUAUUGCUAUUAGAUGAUAAAACAUGAAUAGUAUUUUAUGUGUGACUAAAUAUUUUCAAAUUUUUCACAAAUUUUUCAAAUAAGACGAAUGUUUGAUUUUCAAAUUUUUCACAAAUUUUUCAAAUAAGAUGAACGGUCAAACGUUGGGUACGGAUAUCUAUGACUACACUCAUU